rnacentral:tRNA from 1 species
GCCGCGGUGGUGAAACUGGUAUACACGCAUGGCUUAGGACCAUGUGGGGCAACCCGUGAGAGUUCGAGUCUCUCCCGCGGCA